CCUAGUGGCCGCUGUCAGAAAUGCGGUUUGAAAGACGGAACGUUUUCACACAGUGGAUUUCCUCAUACCUGACAGGAUUUGAAACACAGAUCUUUAUUUCCUUUGGUGACUUUAGUAUCGUACUGUAAUUUGGAGCAUUAGGUUUGAUCUCACUGUAAUAUAGGUCAGGCUGUGCUUUGAAAUCGUUGUUCUUCAUUGAUUAGAAAAAACGAGGUGUACCACAAAUCUGGCCUGAGAUCAGCGGACCUGUGUCGUAUUUGACUUGGCGUGCCGUCAGUGAGGCGUGUCGGUGGUGUUUAAUCUUGAUCUGCUGCCCUCCAUGGGGAGGGACAGGCCGCAUGCUCUUUCUGCUUGGAUGCGUAGCGUUGUGUCUCCCCAUUGAUCUGCUGCCGCCCCCCCCCCCGUCCCACCUCACCAUCCAUCCUGGAUAUUGAUUACUUUUUGCGGACGGAUCGGACAGAUGGGCUCUACUCCAGUAUCUUGACGCAGGUCCUCCAGGUUAAGAACCUCUCUGAAGCUUAACCCCCUUCUCUCCAAUGGGACUUGAACCACCAACCAACAGCUUCCUGGAAUCAGUCCGCCGUCGGAGGUGGGGAGAUCUCGUCACCUCCGAGGUCUCGCAGCCCCCAGAUGCCCGCCUCUGCCGCUGUGCUGACAGUGACGCGCCCGGGCGGGGAGAGGAGCAUCAGCGCAUCCUGCCAUCCUGCUCGGCCUCAUCCGUCAGCACCAGCGCCGUGAUGCCACUGCAUUCAUAAGUGUUGGGGAACAAUUAAAAUGCCUUUUUGGCCCAGUGCCAAUGCCUGUGAUCAGCAGUAAUGACAGGAUGGGUGGCGGCACAAAAGCGGCCCCCACUGCUAAUUGAUUUGACUUGAUGUAGUUCUCCUCUUUUUUUUACCAGCAGUCAGACACAAAGAACAUACACACGCUUGCUGUGUGCGCACUCACUCACUCACACACACACACACACACACACACACACGUGUGAACGCCUUCACCCACUGGCAGGGAACAUCUGUGCCUACCAUGGAGGGUUACAGUCAGUGUAGGGUGUUCAGUCGAAUGGCCUGUCAUGGGGGAGGAGAAUCUCCUGGCUGUCUCCCCGGUUUUGAUGGGGGUGUCUUCCUCGCUAUCCUAUUUCGAAGCUUGUCUGUAUUUAUUUAUUGGGGGGGGGGGUGAUUUCUACAUGGUGAUUGUACAUGGUACUGUCCAGUUCUAUGGCGACAAUUAGCCUGGCCUGUCAAUCACGAAAGCAAUGAAUGUGUGGGGGGGGGGGGCAAGCACGGGAAAACAACGCUCCCAGUCCAGUUUUCGGGGAGGGGGGGCUCCGCUCCUCCCAUCCGCCUGUGUGCGCUAAACCUGACUCGGGGGCAUUUAUCAUCUUUAGCCCUUGACGUUUGUCGCUGGGCCGCUAAGGGCAGCCUCCCGCUAAAAAAUAGGGCAGUCAGGGACAAGAUGGGCAGGGACAGAACGGCUCUCUAUUCGCCAGAAAGGACACGGCUUUUCAUUUCUGUUUGCAGGCGCUGUAGGGGGAGGCAUAGCCAACAAGGAGAGACUAACGGUAAGGAUAACAGGACAUAAAUAAAAAAAACUUAAGGAAAGUCGUACGACUAAAGUAGCGCUGACAGAUUGACAGAGCUCUGCUGUACUUUGCCUACAGUUACCUCUGUCUGUAAUUUGAGAAUUUGCACAUGCUAUACCUCAGACCAAUGCUGCAUUAAGCUGCUGGUCAGACUACUAGUCCACACUGUCCACCUUAAUCCAGCCCUGCAUGUAUUUAAUGAUUUCUCUGUUCUGUUCGCUCAGACAAAAACUGUGUAAAAAUAAAAACUGUCCCUGCAGAUUUGUUGGUGAUGCAGAGACAGCCACCUUUGGUGUGCGCAGUGUACAUCCAGCCCAGCAGGGGGCGAUCUCAGGCCACACUGCCAUGGGUGUGAUUGCUGUCCUGACUGACGAACAGCUUGAUGCCCUCCCAGUGUGGGAAUGACAGCAGGUCAUCGGUACCUCCUCAGUUAGGCCGAGCUAUGAAUAAACUACUCUAAUCAACAAUAUUUUUACUUUUUUUGUAUAUUAACUUUUCUGCUAUGGGAUAAAAUUGAUGUUCUUGGGACCGCAAAUUUAAUAAAAUGACCAGACCAGAAAUGCCAAACAGGCGUUUUUAAAAAUUUUCUUUCACUCUCCUCUUGGGGUAUUUAUUGGGGCAGAAAAAUAAAUCUCUCCCAGCCUACCCCCC